rnacentral:rRNA from 1 species
UACUCGAGUGGCGAACGGGUGAGUAACACGUGGGUGAUCUGCCCUGCACUCUGGGAUAAGCCUGGGAAACUGGGUCUAAUACCGGAUAGGACCAUGCUUUAGUGUGUGUGGUGGAAAGUUUUUUCGGUGUAGGAUGAGCCCGCGGCCUAUCAGCUUGUUGGUGGGGUAAUGGCCUACCAAGGCGGCGACGGGUAGCCGGACUGAGAGGUCGGUCGGCCACAUUGGGACUGAGAUACGGCCCAG